CCUACGUGAGGCAGCAGUGGGGAAUAUUGCACAAUGGGGGAAACCCUGAUGCAGCGACGCCGCGUGAGUGAAGAAGUAUCUCGGUACGUAAAGCUCUAUCAGCAGGGAAGAAAAUCACGGUACCUGUCUACGAAGCCCCGGCUAACUACGUGCCAGCAGCCGCGGUAAUACGUAGGGGGCCAGCGUUAUCCGGAUUUACUGGGUGUAAAGGGGUCGUAGAGGGCAGCACAAGUCUGGAGUGAAAUCCCGGGGCUUAACCCCGGAACUGCUUUGGAAACUGUGCGGCUGGAGUGCAGGUGGGGUAAGCGGAAUGCAUAGUGUAGCGGUGAAAUGCUUAGAGAUUAGGCGGAACACCGGUGGCGAAGGCAGCUUACUGAUCUGUAUCUGACGUUGAGGCUCGAAAGCGUGGGGAGCAAACAGGAUUAGAUACCCGUGUAGUC
rnacentral:rRNA from 1 species